rnacentral:rRNA from 1 species
AAUGGGUCAGCGACUUAUAUUCUGUAGCAAGGUUAACCGAAUAGGGGAGCCGAAGGGAAACCGAGUCUUAACUGGGCGUUAAGUUGCAGGGUAUAGACCCGAAACCCGGUGAUCUAGCCAUGGGCAGGUUGAAGGUUGGGUAACACUAACUGGAGGACCGAACCGACUAAUGUUGAAAAAUUAGCGGAUGACUUGUGGCUGGGGGUGAAAGGCCAAUCAAACCGGGAGAUAGCUGGUUCUCCCCGAAAGCUAUUUAGGUAGCGCCUCGUGAAUUCAUCUCCGGGGGUAGAGCACUGUUUCGGCAAGGGGGUCAUCCCGACUUACCAACCCGAUGCAAACUGCGAAUACCGGAGAAUGUUAUCACGGGAGACACACGGCGGGUGCUAACGUCCGUCGUGAAGAGGGAAACAACCCAGACCGCCAGCUAAGGUCCCAAAGUCAUGGUUAAGUGGGAAACGAUGUGGGAAGGCCCAGACAGCCAGGAUGUUGGCUUAGAAGCAGCCAUCAUUUAAAGAAAGCGUAAUAGCUCACUGGUCGAGUCGGCCUGCGCGGAAGAUGUAACGGGGCUAAACCAUGCACCGAAGCUGCGGCAGCGACGCUUAUGCGUUGUUGGGUAGGGGAGCGUUCUGUAAGCCUGUGAAGGUGUGCUGUGAGGCAUGCUGGAGGUAUCAGAAGUGCGAAUGCUGACAUAAGUAACGAUAAAGCGGGUGAAAAGCCCGCUCGCC